UCAAACUUGGUCAUUUAGAGGAAGUAAAAGUCGUAACAAGGUCUCCGUUGGUGAACCAGCGGAGGGAUCAUUACAGAGUGUAAAAACUCCCAAACCCCUGUGAACAUACCCUACUGUUGCCUCGGCAGGUCGCUGCUGCGCACCCCGCAGCGGCCUCACCCGGACGCGGGCGAGCCUGCCGGAGGCCCCAACCAAACUCUGUUUAGUGGAUGAAUCUCUGAGAAAACAUAACUAAAUACGUUAAAACUUUCAACAACGGAUCUCUUGGUUCUGGCAUCGAUGAAGAACGCAGC
rnacentral:misc_RNA from 1 species